CGCUGCUCGGUGGGUGACCCUGUGCAGGUGAAGUGUGUUCUUCUGCCAGCUUGCAAGAUCUCAGGGACAGUUCCAGGUGCUGAGACACAGAAAGAGAUUAGAAAAUGAGCAGAAUCCUGCCAAACUUUGUGAAAACAAAGACUGCAAUCCUCAGGAGGUGUCAGCCUGCUGAAAGUGUCACCAGCCACAUUGCACAACAGCCCUGCAGUGCUGCACUCCGUGUAUUUGAUGAGCUGAGUUCAACACUCAGUGUGGCAGAGUGUCAGUUUGUCAAAUAUACAAAGGGCGGCAUUUGCCCAGCAACGCUGAGACCACACAACCUCGGACAUCUACAGAGCUGAAGUCUCGGGUGACAGAGCAGGAUGCAGGCAGUGCGAUAAACUGUAAAAUUCUGUAUUUUGCUCUACCUUCCUGAUUUGGCACCUUGGGAGACUGCAUCUUCUCCAUAAGUCAUCCUUCCCUACCCUGACACAUCUGGGGGACAACUCCAUGAUCCCCAGCCAGCUAGCCAGCCAGGUUACCAUGGUGGCUGGGGAUGAUGGAACAUGUAGGCUUUUUAAAACAAAGGGUGCCAAGUUGGGGAAGGACGCUGUAAGCGUUCUAAACCCCAAUUCACCAAAGGGCAUGACUCUUGCCAGUUUCUUGGCAGCAAAGAAGGCAUUUCGUACAGUUGUUUUUU